UAUAAGAUCAGAAAUACUUAGUUGCU
rnacentral:piRNA from 1 species